AUGAUCUGUUGAUAACAAAUUAAAGCCACUGUACCAAGCCAUUAGUUCACUUUGUUACUUCCAGCUUUCCAGUUAUCAAAAAAAUGGAGUAAGGUCUUGAAGACUAAGACCUGGGAUGGGUAACUUCUGCUGAGCUGACAGUCUGGUACAGCAGGAGACCCAGAUGUCAGGUGCGACUGAAGAAACUGGACAACUUGUGGAUAGAAUGAGGGCCUCGUGGAUAAAUUUGAGGAUAAGAAAAAAAAAUACUGUGAAUGUGUACAUUAUCUACUAUAUAUAUACGUAAAAGACAAAGUGUGCAAAUUAUGGAUACAUUUAUAGAAAUUGCUAAAAAUGGUAAUGUAGAUCUAUAUUUAUUGAAACGGAAAGAUGCAGAAGAUGGAUUUCUGUGUGAAAAAUAGUUCAUUUAAAAAACUAUAUUCUCUGUGAAUUUGAAGACUCUGCAUUCCAAGUACUGUUGAAUUUCUCUGAGUGCUGAAUACAGUUAAUUUUUAUGCUCUUUUAUUUACCUUUUUAUGGAAACUAAAUUUUUUUUUACAAUGAGAAGUCAAUAUUUUACCAUCGCAAACAGCAAUAAAACUCUUCCGUUAUAAUAAGAGGGAGUGCAGGUUGCAGAGGGGAGGCGAGGAUGGUGGCAGUUGCUGGAUGCAGGAAGGGACCAAACAGAGCAAGUGUGAGAAGGUGUUGCAUGGAAAGCAAGGCAUUAGCCCAGGGCCGUAGAAGAAAGAGAAAUGAGAGAGGGGCGGCAAGAAUGGCUAAGGACUUUUCUUCUAUUGCCAGUUUCUUCUGUACUUUUGCCCAGAUCAAUAGAGGAAGUCAAAAGAAAAACAAAAAUGAAAACAUGCAAAUGGCAACUUUAGGUGGUAACAUUUCAUUCAGCUUCUCUGCCUUCUCUGGACUAGUGGAUGGAGUGGAAAUUUAUGGGCUCCCAGUUCCUAUCAUGAGCAGCUGGAGAUCUCAACUUCAUCUUGGAGCCCUACCUCACAAAGCAUUUCAAGUUCUCAAGGCGUGUCCCAUGGCUGGAAUGAUGUGCUUCACAGAGAAAGGUAAAAUUUCUCCAAGUCUAACUUUUCUUUUAGGGUUUAAAAAAAACACCUUUUGCGUUUUCUCUCUCUCUCUUUCUCUCAGUCUUUCAGAGUGCAUGGAUACCAACAUAAUUUUAAAAAGUGGAUCAUACGUAAAGUUUAAGGAAGUAUUCUGUUCACUGACAACCACGAGUUCACGAGGCGAUACUUUUUACUAA
rnacentral:lncRNA from 1 species